rnacentral:rRNA from 1 species
AACGAACGCUGGCGGCAGGCCUAACACAUGCAAGUCGAGCGCGCCCUUCGGGGUGAGCGGCGGACGGGUGAGUAACGCGUGGGAACGUGCCCUUUUCUACGGAAUAGCCUCGGGAAACUGAGAGUAAUACCGUAUACGCCCUUUGGGGGAAAGAUUUAUCGGAAAAGGAUCGGCCCGCGUUGGAUUAGGUAGUUGGUGGGGUAAUGGCCUACCAAGCAGACGAUCCAUAGCUGGUUUGAGAGGAUGAUCAGCCACACUGGGACUGAGACACGGCCCAGACUCCUACGGGAGGCAGCAGUGGGGAAUCUUAGAAAAUGGGGGCAAACCUGAUCUAGCCAUGAAGCGUGAGUGAUGAAGGCAUUAGGGUUGUAAAGAUAUUUCAGCUGGGAAGAUAAUGACGGUACCAGCAGAAGAAGCCCAGGCUAACUCCGUG